AAAAAAAAAAAAAAAAAAACAUAAACAACAACAACAUACUCUAAAGUUAUACCCAAGAUUUCUCUCUUCACUAUCUCCAGACUGAAAUUUUCGUGUAUUUGUCUCUGAAAUUUUCGUGUAAAAGGAGAAGGAUAUAGAUCUCAUGUAUUUAAAGGUUCUUUGUAAAGGUUAACUUCAGAUCUCGUGUUUGAAUUUCGGAUUUCAUCUCUUAACAAUCAAAAGUAAGUUUUCUUUUCUUUUCUCGUAAAUAUCAUCAAAAUAAAACAUGGGUUUUGGUAAUCAAUUGUUAAUUUCUUAAAUCUAACCCCUUUACUUUGUCUAUAUCAUCCAGUCUUGUUAAUUUCUUAAGUCUACCGAGAAUACUCAUACCAGCAGGUGAAAUACUAGCCAUUUUUUUCCCCUUUAAUUGGACUAAUUUUGAAAUUGUUCAAGUCGAUUUCAUUGGUGAAUAACUUGUCUCAAGUAUAAUUAGGUCAAAUUAAUUUACAAGGAAAUUCGAACAAAUUUCAGGUACAAUUUUUAUUGAAACCCUUUAAUGAUUUGUUUGUGUUAAUUGGUUCAGUUAGUUGGAAUGAAUUAUAGUGACGGGACAUGGGAAUUAUGCAGCUGUUUAUUGUAAUUGUGAAGGUUUUGGUGAUGAUGGAAGUCAUUAAUUUUGAUUGGCGGUGGUGAUUUGAGAGUGAUUCUUUUCACCAAGGAGGGUAAUUUUUGAUAUAUCCAUGGGUGGUGAUGAUAAUAGUGAGUGUUACUUGCCUUAGGACUCGAGUAGUUGUCCUGGCCAGUCAAGAAGCACAAACGGCUGUUAAACCAAAGAGGAAAGCAGCUACACAACACGGAGGUUCAAUGUUGUCUGAUCUACAGCAGUCUCUUGAAGAUCACUUACCAGUUCUUUUGGGUUUAGUUAAAGAAGGCCCGUGAGUUUGCAAAUGAGAAGAGCGUCAAAGAACCCAACAGUAUGGCUUGCAGUUUCUUCAGGCUCCAGUUCAGCGAACAAUGUUGAUACUUCAACAGUUUCUGAUGCAUAUUCAAAGAUGCUUCCAAUUUUUAUUCCCUGUGGUUUUGAUAACAGUAUGGCUUACUGUUAUUGUUGCUAGUCUGAUCUUUGUAGGCAUCCCCGUCUAGUUCCAGGCCAGCUGUAGAACUUCCUCAAACUACACCUACCCCAAGAUCUGCAUUCAGUGAUUUUGCUCGUGUUUACAUCUAGGUCAAAUAACAUUAAAGGCCACCCCAAACGAGUUACCGGACUUGCCUUCUCUCGUGCACUGAAUGUUCUCGUUUUACAGGUGCUCUAAUCAAUGAGCCAACUGCUUUGGAUGAGCAGGUACUUCAUGCAUUUGUAUUACAAAUUUAUUUAUUUUCUCUUAAGAGACAUCCAACAAUGUUAGAGUUCCUUUUCCUUCAAAACAAUUUCUAAGA